rnacentral:misc_RNA from 1 species
GUGAAUCAUCAAAUUUUUGAACGCAAAUUGCACUCUCUUCGGAGAGUAUGCCUGUUUGAGGGUCAGCCUAAAAAAAAUCGACAUAGUUGCUGUUUCGCGGUGACAUUCGUCGGAAAUUGGGUCAUCUUAAACCUUUGGGUUUUAAGCGGCUUAAAAUUAUGUUCGAUUUUUAAACGUAUUUAAAUUAUUACUUACGUUCGUAAUAUCACAUAUUAGGUGCGGUCAUUCACAUGAUUUCGCGUCUAUAAUUUUUCAUUAUUUGACCUCAAAUCAGGUAAGAAUACCCGCUGAACUUAAGCAU